UCUCCGUAGGUGAACCUGCGGAAGGAUCAUUAAUGGGAAAUCAAAUCAAAUCAAAACAAAUGUUCUGUUGCACUGGGUGUGCUGUGUGGUGGUGGUGUGAGACAUGGAGAUUCAAUCAUUGGAGAUUCAAUCAUUGGAGAUUCAAUCAUUGGAGAUUCAAUCAUUGGAAUUUCAAUCAUUGGAGAUUCAAUCAUUCAAUCUCAAUCAUCGCCACACAACACAACUAUCUAUCACACUCGAUCAACAACAACACACUCACACACAACAGCAAACAACUUUUAACAAUGGAUCUCUUGGCUCUU
rnacentral:misc_RNA from 1 species